AGGUCCCGCCUGCCCAGUGACUUACAUGUUUAACGGCCGCGGUAUUUUGACCGUGCGAAGGUAGCGCAAUCACUUGUCCUUUAAAUGAGGACCUGUAUGAAUGGCAUAACGAGGGCUUAGCUGUCUCCCUUUUCCAGUCAAUGAAAUUGAUCUCCCCGUGCAGAAGCGGGGAUAAUAGCAUAAGACGAGAAGACCCUGUGGAGCUUUAGACGAUUAAAUGGCUCACUUUGAACAGACUUGCACCACAGGCAAGCUGACCCCAGUGGCUAGACACCAUUUAGCGUCUUUGGUUGGGGCGACCGUGGGGAAAAGAAAAACCCCCAUGAGGACCGGGGUCCCACCCCCCCUAGCCGAGAGCCUACCACUCAAAGCAUCAGAAUUUCUGACCCUAAUGAUCCGGCCGGCAGGCCGAUCAACGGACCGAGUUACCCCAGGGAUAACAGCGCAAUCCCCUCUCAGAGCCCAUAUCGACGAGGGGGUUUACGACCUCGAUGUUGGAUCAGGACAUCCUAAUGGUGCAGCCGCUAUUAA
rnacentral:rRNA from 1 species